AAGUAUGUAAUUGGAGUUUUCAGAAAGAACACUAAAUGUGAAUUAUGGCGGUAUCAACCAUUUAAAUUUUGGUCACAUCAGCUCAGUCGGUGUGUGUUUUUGAAAUCUCCUUGUAAUGAAAUUGGACAGAUUAUGUCUGAUAUCGGUUCACCUUCUGGUGACAGUGUUUGUCGUUGCGAUCAUACACGAGGAUUUGCCUUUCUUAGCGACCCAAAUCGUCAUUGUUACUGUACACCAUCCAAUGAGGACUGCACCUGUUAUAAAAAGUCAUGUCCUUUAAAUCAUACUCUUACAUCAGAUUAUCAGUGUAAGCCUUCAAUUCAUGAAAUCUCUUCAUGUCAAGAUGUAUCACCUGUUUUAGACACAAUUUAUACCACCUAUAUAACAACGGAUGUCGAAGCCGUAAAGGAUUCUAACAGCACGCAAGUGGCAAACACCUCGACCAUACCGUUGUUUAUAUUUCUAAUAAUAGUCUUGGUUUCUGUCAUUGCCAUACUUUGUAUUCUGGUUUUUGCUGAAUUCCCAAUCAUUGUUGAGUGCACAAAUGUCUCAUUUUCCUCAGCAAAAGAUAAAACAGAAGUGAUUUUUGGAGAAUCAAACGAUAACGUGUAUCUAGUAAAUCAAGAAAAAACACUUGACCAAGGUACAACAGGUGCAUUCAAGGAAAAAAGAAAGAAAUACAUCAAUAAGAAAGAGGUAGCGCUACUGCUACUGAGGAACAGACUCAGCGAACCGUUAAUUCAUUCAAAGGGCAAAAAUGACGUAAUUGUUGCUUUAGAAAUUGGCUUGACAUGUUCUGGAAUUGCCGUUUGCCUUUGGGAUUCCCACCAAGAAAAGCUUAUGUUUCUUCUAAAAUGGAAGUCAAAAGAGCAAAGCAGAGUCAGUAAUAAAACAUCUACGGCAAUUUUAUUCAGACCAAAUAAAACCGCUGAUAGCAUCGGUGACGAUGCAGAAUGGAGGCAUUGUGGACGAAAUCAAGAUAAUCUUGAUGAAAGGCCAUAUUACAAAAACUUUAUGCUAACAUUAUGCAAGGAACAGGAAAUGGAUUGGGAGGAUAUAGCGAUAUGGGAUGUGCAGAAGAAAAGCAGGAUGAAGGCUGUUGAUAUUAUCACUUCUUUUAUCAAGAACAUGAAACAUAAACUUUUAAAAGAAAUAUUCAAUGGUGAAUCAAAUACUGAUAUUCAAUGGGUAUUUACUGUACCAGCUAUAUGAAGUGACAAAAGCAAGCAAAUUAUGUCUAAAGCAGCUGAAAUGGUCGGAUUAUCGAGGGACAAAUUCAUGCUUUUAGAGGAACCUGAAGCUGUAUUAAAGUAUUAUUCAAUAAAUGCCAACGAGUCUUCGACAAUGCUACCUGCGAGCUACAGGUGUAUUGUUUUACACGUAGGAGAUAACGCAAUUAACUCAACAAUAAUGAAUGUUGAAGAUGAUACUUAUACGAUGAAGACUACUGUAUUCAGUCAAUAUGAAGGUGUUACUCAAGCGGUUUUAAAAUUUAUUUCCGAUUUAUUUGGUAAAAAAGUUACAAAGCAUUGUCAAAAAAAUCAUCCACUGGAGUACAUGACAUUAUUUUACAAUGUCGAAAAGGAAAUGAAAUGCGUUCAACCGAAAACAGAUAUCAAAAUGUGUAUUCCACGUGUAUGGUUUGACGUUUUAGAAGACUUUAGUACUUUACCUGAAGCACACAUGGAAUCUCAUUUACAAAAAGAUGUUGAUUUUGAAGGAGAUGAAAUGAAAAUAAAAUAUGAACUAUUCUGGACCUAUUAUGACAACUUCAUUCAAUGCAGACUUCAAGUUAUUGAUCAUAUUUUAGCAAAGGAAUCGGUUGCUGGCAUUGGUGUUCUAUUUCUUGCUGGGGACUUUAUUGAACAGGUUUUUGUUGACGCUUUGAAACGACAAUAUCCUGAACAUACAAUACUUGUAGCAAGUGAUCAUGAUCCAGAUGAGGUUAUUCUAAGGGGUGCGCUUAUGUCGUGGAAUGAACAUUUUUUACAUCCCAGCUUAAAGUAAAACAAACUCUCUCAUUUACAUAUUUAUUUUCAUUGGACUGGUAUGGUGUACAAAGAUAUAGUUUACAGUUUAACAUGGCAUUCCUCCUGCCAAGAAAAUACUACAUUAUAUAUAAAUAUUUAUGUGUGUCCAUGGUGCAUUUAAUAAUAAAUAGUUUUACUGUUA